GAUGAAGAACGCAGCGAAAUGCGAUAAGUAGUGUGAAUUGCAGAAUUCAGUGAAUCAUCGAAUCUUUGAACGCACAUUGCGCCCGCCAGUAUUCUGGCGGGCAUGCCUGUCCGAGCGUCAUUUCAACCCUCGAACCCCUCCGGGGGGUCGGCGUUGGGGAUCGGCCCCUCACCGGGCCGCCCCCGAAAUCCAGUGGCGGUCUCGCCGCAGCCUCUCCUGCGCAGUAGUUUGCACACUCGCACCGGGAGCGCGGCGCGGCCACAGCCGUAAAACACCCCAAACUCUGAAAUGUUGACCUCGGAUCAGGUAGGAAUACCCGCUGAACUUAAGCAUAUCAAUAAGCGGAGGA
rnacentral:misc_RNA from 1 species